rnacentral:rRNA from 1 species
AUUGAACGCUGGCGGCAGGCCUAACACAUGCAAGUCGAGCGCGCGGCGGACGGGGGAGUAAUGUCUGGGAAACUGCCUCAUAGAGGGGGAUAACUCCUGGAAACGGUAGCUAAUACCGCAUACCCUCAGAUGUGCGCAGAUGGGAUUAGCUUGUAGGUGGGGUAACGGGUCACCUAGGCGCCGAUCCCUAGCUGGUCUGAGAGGAUGAGCAGCCACACUGGAACGGAGACACGGUCCAGACUCCUACGGGAGGCAGCAGUGGGGAAUAUUGCACAAUGGGCGCAAGCCUGAUGCAGCCAUGCCGCGUGGGUGAAGAAGGCCGUCGGGUUGUAAAGCACUUUCAGCGGGGAGGCGUUACCCGCAGAAGAAGCACCGGCUAACUCCGUGCCAGCAGCCGCGGUAAUAC